GCGGCAGCGCGGGCCGGGCGGGCGGCGGGUGCGGGCGGCGGCGGCCGCGGGGGAGCCGUGACGGCCUGAGCGGCCGCGCCCCGGCGCUUCUCCCGGCGACAUGGAGGCGGCGGCGGGAGGCGAGGACGGCGAGGAGCCCCCGCGGGAGGCCCGGGUCCUGGGCUCCGAGCUGGUGGACACAUACACGGUGUACAUUAUUCAGGUCAGUGUUGGCAAUCAUCAGUGGACAGUCAAACAUCGUUACAGUGAUUUCCAUGACCUGCAUGAAAAGCUUGUUUCAGAAAAGAAAAUAGAUAAAAAUCUGUUACCUCCAAAGAAGAUCAUUGGAAAAAAUUCCAAAAGCCUGGUGGAGAAAAGACAAAAGGAAUUAGAGGUCUACCUGCAAACCCUGCUGCUCAAAUUCCCUGUUACUGCUCCGAAAGUCUUGUCACACUUCCUACACUUUCAUUUAUAUGAGAUCAAUGGGAUCACUGCUGCAUUGGCUGAGGAGCUCUUCCAUAAAGGAGAGCAGCUGUUGAUGGCAGGAGAAGUCUUCACCAUCAGACCCCUGCAGUUGUACGCUGUCACACAGCAGCUGCUGCAGGGCAAACCCACCUGUGCUAAUGGAGAUGCCAAAACAGACCUGGGGCAUAUUCUGGAUUUCACUUGUAGACUCAAGUAUCUGAAGGUCACUGGAACAGGGGGACCUUUUGGGACCAGUAACAUUCAGGAGCAUCUCUUGCCUUUUGAUCUGUCUAUUUUCAAAUCGCUUUAUCAAAUAGAGAUCAGUCAUUGUGGGGGAAAGCUUAUCAAAGGACUGACUUCAUCCAAACAUGCUCUGGCCACACUGAGUGUUCGAUUUUCAGCAACAUCAAUGAAGGAAAUCCUGGUGCCUGAGGCCUCUGAGUUUGAUCAUUGGGAACCAGAGGAUGCAACUUCAAGUUGUCCAGUGACAGCGAUUAUCCCAACCUGGAGAACUUUAACAACUUUGGAUAUGAGUCACAAUAGCAUCUCUGAAAUUGAUGAUUCAGUGAAAUUAAUCCCAAAGAUUGAGUUCCUGGAUUUGAGUCACAAUGGGGUGUCUCUGGUAGAAAAUUUACAGCAUCUGUACAACCUUGUUCACCUGGACUUAUCCUACAACAAACUUACAUCUCUGGAAGGUGUUCACACAAAACUGGGAAACAUCAAAACUCUGAAUUUAGCAGGAAAUCAGCUGGAAAGGCUGUGUGGUCUUAACAAACUGUACUCAUUAGUCAACUUGGAUCUAAGCAACAACAAAAUAGAACAGAUUGAUGAAGUGAAGAACAUUGGAAACCUCCCGUGCUUAGAGAAGGUGAUGUUAUCCAGCAAUCCUUUGAGCAUCAUCCCUGAUUACCGGACCAAAGUACUUGCUCAGUUUGGAGACAGGGCCUCAGAGGUUUGUUUGGAUAACAUUGUUACCACAGAAAAAGAACUAGACACAGUGGAAGUUCUGAAAGCGAUACAAAAAGCAAAGGAGGUGAAAUAUAAACUGAGCAAUUCUGAUAAAAAGAUCAGUGAGGACUCCAGGCUCACUGCUGCCAGCUCCAAAUCAAACUGUUCUUCUCUUACUGUUCGUCCUUCCUCUCCCUCUCUGCCUCGUCCUGUCAGCUCCAGCCAAGGUAAUCAUAAAUAAUUUGUGAAGAAACAGUCCUAGCCAGCAGUUUUUUGCAAUCCAGUUGUUUGACUCCUACAGACCAUACAAUUCCCCAGAGAUGCUUUGAAAUACCAGACUCCAGUUGUAAAAAUCAGGUACCUGCCUCUGUAUUGGAUUCAUGCAAAGAGUAUGGAAGUGGUCAUCAGAUGUGCUUGGAGCGUUCAGAGGAAGAACCCUGUGCGGUGCCUGACCCCUGUGACACCGUCAUCCUGCCUUUUAACUGUAUGUCCUACACUGCCACAAACCAGGACUUUAUCCAGCACCUUUCUGCCUCCAUAGUGCAGGCUGUGCAGAAAUCUCCCCCCUCCCUCACAGAGAAUAAAGGAAACUCUAUAGGUAAUUCCACUACCACAGACAAGGAAGAUGGCUAUUUUGAAAUGGGACUUCAUGAAGGAGAUCAGACUUUUGAGUUCAGCACUGCUUCAGAUCCUCAGUCAUCGGACAGCACAGCAGUGGAGUGUGUUGACAUAGUCAAAAUUCUCUGGAGUUUUUCUAUCCACAUUCAUAAAGGACUCAGACAAUUUGCUUCCUGUUUGGUUCUGACUGAUGAUAUGCUAGCUGUGUUUGAGAUUCCUCACCAGGAAUUGAGAGGAAACUACCAGCACAUCCCUUCUGCCUUGAAAUUAAUGCUGUGUUUGCCAUACACCGAUCUAACAGAAUUUGGCUUUCUCCUGCCAGAAAUCUGUUUAGCUCUGAAGCUGAAAAACAGUAACAACUGCUUGUUUGUUGUUUCAGACUCCCAGAAUCUUCAAGACUUUUAUUCCUGUUUACACACUUGUUGCUCUCAACACUACACAUCAGUGUUACCAAGCUCCACACUGUACUGUGGAAAAGCAAACCUCCAAGAAUUCCUCUGUCAACUUAUGGAAUUGAAUUGCAUUUCAGCAGAAGAUGUUGAAAUAAAAGGUUGUUUCCCAGCAUACCUUGUUGGUGGGAAUAAAACCAAUGUUCAGGAAAUCUUACAUCAACCAGAGUCAGCUGGCAAUAGCAGAGAAUGGUCAAAAAAUGUUUUGUGUUCUGCACUUUAUUCUUCAGUGUAUAAAUCCUCUGAGCAGGGUCCCCGUGUGAUCCAUCCAUGCUGGAUAUUUCUAACACCACAGCAUUUGUACAUAGUAAAGGUGGAUUUCAGUUUACUGCCAGGUAAAUGGGUAGGCACAGAAGAGUUGGGAAGUGUAUUUAAGCUGAACAGAAUUCCAUUAGCAUCACUAGUGUUGCAUCCAGCUCAUGGUUCCAUCCAGCAGAAGGGUUCAUUUUUGGAUGGACACGUGCUGGAGUUGCUCGUUGGAUACAGAUUUGUUACAGCAGUGUUUGUUCUACCUCAUGAGAAAUUCCACUUCCUAAGAAUCUACAGUCUUUUAAGGACACUCUUGCAGGAUGUUAAGACUAUUAUUAUUUUCAAAGCUUCGAGCAAAUCUGAUGCUGUAAGAAAUCACGUUGUGGAGGCAAACAGGCACAGUCAGUCAGCAAGUUUUUGCAAGCCUCAUCUGACACUGUCAUCUUUAUAUCCAUCUGAGUUUCUUGUGCAGAAGAUAACAGAAGAUAACCAGAUCCCUGUUCACCUCCAUGUCUCUGUGUCUCUGCAGUAUGUGGCUGGGCUGAAAGGAAGUGCCCUAGUUGAGUUUUUCCAUGGCAACAUUGCAGAGGUGGAAAACGAAGAGCUGAGACACCUUAUGUGGUCUUCAGUUCUGUUUUACAAGACUCCCAAUGUGGAAGUGAUGGCUUGUGUGCUUCUCUCAACAAAAGCUAUUUACUUUCUGUUGGAUGAUUCUUUUGUUCAUGCUGAUGAGCACCAGUCAGAUUUUUGGAACAAAGAGAACUCAGAUUGUGAAAACAGUUCUUUCCACCUCUCUUGCUGCUUUGUGCUAAAACUUAAUGACCUGCAGUCAGUAAAUGUUGGCCUAUUUGACCAAUACUUCCGCAUUAGUGGCCAUUCUGCAGAUCACAUUGUCACCUGCCUGACAAGGGACAGCUACAACACUCACACCUUCAUCCAGCAGCUUAUGGCAGUUCUGUCUUUGCUUGCACGCACACCUUCACCUGAGCCAGUAGACAAAGACUUCUACUCUGAAUUUGGGAGUAAAAACACAGGAAAAAUGGAGAAUUACGAAUUGAUUCACUCUAGCAGAGUAAAAUUUAUUUAUCCAAAUGAAGAGGAAAUUGGGGACCUUGCUUUUCUAGUGGCAGAGAAGAUGGAUGGUUUGACUAAUCUUCCAUCCCUCAACAUCCUUCUGUAUGUGUUGGCAUUCCAAGUAAAUCACGGUGAAGGAUCUGCUCAAAACACUAGUUCACUUCAACCUAAAACACUUAUACUGACCAGCUCUGAUUUGUUCCUCUUUGAUGAAGAUUAUAUCAGUUACCCACUACCUGACUUUGCUAAGGAACCACCAAAGAGAGAUAAGUAUCAGCUUGCAGAUGGACGACGAAUCCGGGAUUUAGACAGAGUACUUAUGGGUUAUCAGACAUAUCCACAGGCCCUUACAUUUGUGUUUGAUGAUGUUCAGGAUCAGGAUCUGAUGCAGAAUUUAACACUGGAUCACUUUGGAGAAGCUGGUAAUGUCCCAAGUGGAAAUACUAAACUAGAAGGCAGCAAAAACAGAGAGAUCCAGUGGUACAUUUUUAUCCCAAGUGCAGAAAGCAGGGAGAAAUUAAUUUCCUUGCUUGCAAGGCAGUGGGAGAUCCUGUGUGGUAGGGAACUGCCUUUGGAACUCACAGGGUAGUUAUUGCACAGCCAGGUGAUUUCAGUGUGUAUUAUAAGGUAAAGCACAGUGUUUAGGUAAACAGCACCUGUUCUUUGUUCCCAUGAGGAGCUGACCUGGGCUCCCUUGCUCCCUAAUGCAGUGAACAUACAUAGUGCAGUACACAGAAAUAUUCUGAAGUGUUAACUGGGGACUGAACUUCUUGUACAGUCUACUUUUUAUGCAAUAGUAUAUAGUGAAAAAAAAAUCAUGAGACAUCCUGGGAAACUGUAUGGAAAAAUUAAGGAGUCAACACUAGAUAAUACUGUCAUCUGGGGCUGUUAAGGUUUCCACUGUUCUUCUGUAUAUAUCAGUCUUGCUGUUCUAUACAAAUUCUAAUGUGUAAAUAAGGGUAAAUGCUUGUGUACGUUCAAGUGCAAUGUUCUUUGUACAAGAAGUAUUUUGGGUAUGCUGCUAAUGCUUAUUAUUUAAUGAUCUUACAGUUUUACAUAUGUUUUUCUUUGAGGCCAAAUGUAAUUAUUUGCUGCCAAUCUUCAACUUAGCAGUGAAAUUUGAGCCACAAACAAGUAAAAAAUUUUCUUAUGAAAUUAUUUUCAUAGGCAUUCUUUUUCCUUACCCUAGGAUAAAAGAAUUCCCUGGUAAAGAUCCCCUCAGUAUCAUCUGCAAAUUGGAAAUACCCAACAUAGGUAUAUGAGCAUUUUGUCAGCAAAUAAUGAAUUUGUAUCUCUGAACACAAAGUCUUUCUUUUUGCCUAUCUUGUCAAUACAAAUAAAGUGUAAUUUGACAGUU